rnacentral:rRNA from 1 species
CCCAGACUCCUACGGGAGGCAGCAGUGGGGAAUAUUGCACAAUGGGGGAAACCCUGAUGCAGCGACGCCGCGUGAGUGAAGAAGUAUUUCGGUAUGUAAAGCUCUAUCAGCAGGAAAGAAAAUGACGGUACCUGACUAAGAAGCCCCGGCUAACUACGUGCCAGCAGCCGCGGUAAUACGUAGGGGGCAAGCGUUAUCCGGAUUUACUGGGUGUAAAGGGAGCGUAGACGGCGAUGCAAGUCUGAAGUGAAAGCCCGGGGCUCAACCCCGGGACUGCUUUGGAAACUGUAUGGCUGGAGUGGUGGAGAGGUAAGCGGAAUUCCUAGUGUAGCGGUGAAAUGCGUAGAUAUUAGGAGGAACACCAGUGGCGAAGGCGGCUUACUGGACAGUAACUGACGUUGAGGCUCGAAAGCGUGGGGAGCAAACAGGAUUAGAUACCCGUGUAU